CGCUGUUAUGCGGAAAACGUAAACAAUGAUUGUGACAAAAUUAACAAAAAACAAAAACAACAACAGAACAGCUCGGAAGGACAGCAGACCAAAAACUUAUUAAUAAAAUGGAUUUAGUGCCAGAAAACUCCUCCAGUGCAAACAAGAGAACAACAGCAGGCGGCAGGGUGAAAUGGAGUGCCGCGCUUGAGUGCCUGCUGGUUGACAUAUGGCAGGAGAAAAUUGAAGAUUUGCGCGGACCACGCAAAAAUUCACAUGUGUACAUGUACAUUACACACACUGUUUGGAGCUACACCGAAAAGCCUGCCAACUGUUCGGUACUCAGAGGACGAGCCCAAAGUGUAUAGCGCAAUGGCGAUGCGCUUUUCCAAAGGAAUUGCAGCUCGGCAGUUGGUGUCCUUCUUUCGCAGCACUUCAAGCCGAUUCACUAAAAUAUCAAAGCAGUGCCUCUCCAUUCGGAAACUCUCUUUGAAAAACGCCUCGUUGUUUUCUGGUACAUCUUUCUCCCAAAAUGUCCCGAACCGCUUCUAAAACCAUAAAAUAUGUCCUUGUACUUUAAACUUUGGUUGAAGUUAGUAGAAGUACUCACAUACGACCAUAACCUUCCUGGCUUUUGUGUUUUUAUGGCAGUGACCCAGUCAAGCAUCUCAUCUUCGUCAAAGUUAAAGUCCUCAUCGUCAUCAUCAUUAAGCAACAUUAUUAGUUGGUGCAAGAAAAUAUUUUGCUGUGCAACCACAGCCGAAAUAAUUGCUAUAUCUCUAUCAUCCAUUAUUAAGAAUUAAUAAAUCUUCCGCGCAAAUUUAA